ACUGGUUGGUUGAGCGGGACGAUAAUCUUAGCAACAUCAGCUAAACUCCGAAUGCCAGCAAUGUGGGUGCGGCAGUGAGACUGCGGGGGAUAAGCUUCGUAGUCGAGAGGGAAACAGCCCAGACCAUCAACUAAGGCCCCUAAGCGUGUGCUAAGUGGGAAAGGAUGUGGAGUUGCAUAGACAACCAGGAGGUUGGCUUAGAAGCAGCCACCCUUGAAAGAGUGCGUAAUAGCUCACUGGUCAAGUG
rnacentral:rRNA from 1 species